AGUUUGAUCCUGGCUCAGAACGAACGCUGGCGGCACGCCUAACACAUGCAAGUCGAGCGCUUUCCUUCGGGAAGGAGCGGCGGACGGGUUAGUAACGCGUGGGAACAUACCCUUUUCUAUGGAAUAGCCUCGGGAAACUGAGAGUAAUACCAUAUACGCCCUUCGGGGGAAAGAUUUAUCGGUGAAGGAUUAGCCCGCGUAAGAUUAGAUAGUUGGUGGGGUAAUGGCCUACCAAGUCUACGAUCUUUAGCUGGUUUGAGAGGAUGAUCAGCAACACUGGGACUGAGACACGGCCCAGACUCCUACGGGAGGCAGCAGUGGGGAAUCUUAGACAAUGGGCGCAAGCCUGAUCUAGCCAUGCCGCGUGAGUGACGAAGGUCUUAGGAUCGUAAAGCUCUUUCGCCAGAGAUGAUAAUGACAGUAUCUGGUAAAGAAACCCCGGCUAACUCCGUGCCAGCAGCCGCGGUAAUACGGAGGGGGUUAGCGUUGUUCGGAAUUACUGGGCGUAAAGCGUACGUAGGCGGAUUGGAAAGUAGGGGGUGAAAUCCCAGGGCUCAACCCUGGAACUGCCUCCUAAACUAUCAGUCUAGAGUUCGAGAGAGGUGAGUGGAAUUCCAAGUGUAGAGGUGAAAUUCGUAGAUAUUUGGAGGAACACCAGUGGCGAAGGCGGCUCACUGGCUCGAUACUGACGCUGAGGUACGAAAGUGUGGGGAGCAAACAGGAUUAGAUACCCUGGUAGUCCACACCGUAAACGAUGAAUGCCAGUCGUCGGGGAGCUUGCUCUUCGGUGACACACCUAACGGAUUAAGCAUUCCGCCUGGGGAGUACGGUCGCAAGAUUAAAACUCAAAGGAAUUGACGGGGGCCCGCACAAGCGGUGGAGCAUGUGGUUUAAUUCGACGCAACGCGCAGAACCUUACCAACCCUUGACAUCCUUGGACCGCUAGAGAGAUCUAGUUUUCUCGUAAGAGACCAAGUGACAGGUGCUGCAUGGCUGUCGUCAGCUCGUG
rnacentral:rRNA from 1 species